rnacentral:rRNA from 1 species
UACGGAGGUGGCUAGCGUUGUUCGGAAUUACUGGGCGUAAAGGGCGCGUAGGCGGCAUGGCAAGUCAGAUGUGAAAGCCCCGGGCUUAACUUGGGAAUUGCAUCUGAAACUGCUUUGCUUGAGUCCUGGAGGGGGUAGUGGAAUUCCCAGUGUAGCGGUGAAAUGCGUAGAUAUUGGGAGGAACACCGGUGGCGAAGGCGGCUACCUGGACAGUGACUGACGCUGAGGCGCGAAAGCUAGGGGAGCGAACGGG